AUUGAACGCUGGCGGCAGGCCUAACACAUGCAAGUCGAACGAGUGGCGGACGGGUGAGUAAUGUAUGGGAAACUGCCUGAUGGAGGGGGAUAACUACUGGAAACGGUAGCUAAUACCGCAUACGAUCAGAUGGGCCCAGAUGGGAUUAGCUAGUUGGUGGGGUAACGGCUCACCAAGGCGACGCUCCCUAGCUGGUCUGAGAGGAUGACCAGCCACACUGGGACUGAGACACGGCCCAGACUCCUACGGGAGGCAGCAGUGGGGAAUAUUGCACAAUGGGCGCAAGCCUGAUGCAGCCAGGCCGCGUGUAUGAAGAAGGUCUUCGGGUUGUAAAGUACUUUCAGCGGGGAGGCGUUACCCGCAGAAGAAGCACCGGCUAACUCCGUGCCAGCAGCCGCGGUAAUAU
rnacentral:rRNA from 1 species